GGCUCAGAUUGAACGCUGGCGGCAGGCCUAACACAUGCAAGUCGAGCGGUAGCACAGAGAGCUUGCUCUCGGGUGACGAGCGGCGGACGGGUGAGUAAUGUCUGGGAAACUGCCUGAUGGAGGGGGAUAACUACUGGAAACGGUAGCUAAUACCGCAUAACGUCGCAAGACCAAAGUGGGGGACCUUCGGGCCUCAUGCCAUCAGAUGUGCCCAGAUGGGAUUAGCUAGUAGGUGGGGUAAUGGCUCACCUAGGCGACGAUCCGUAACUGGUCUGAGAGGAUGAUC
rnacentral:rRNA from 1 species